UAAAAAGACAUUUUUGUGUUUCUAAAAGUUGUCUUGUGUUGCAACUACUUAGAUUUCACCCAAGAAUAAUUUCCAGGUAAGGGAGGUGAAUCACUAGGAUUGCUUAAGUACCAAGCCUUGUCCUUGCCAAAAUUGUUCUAGGCUACUCACUUAGUUAUUGUUACUUGCAAGAUUACUUUUAAAAUCACAAAAGAAGACUCAAAAACAAAUCAAAA
rnacentral:lncRNA from 1 species